rnacentral:rRNA from 1 species
ACACAUGCAAGUGGAGCGACGAACGGGGCUUGCCCCGGGGCAGAGCCGCGAACGGGUGAGUAACACGUGGGUUACCUGCCCCAAUGACCGGGACAACCCGAGGAAACUCGGGCUAAUACCGGAUGUGGUCUUCGGACGAAAGGAAGCUUCGGCCUCCGCAUUGGGAUGGGCCCGCGGCGCAUUAGCUUGUUGGUGGGGUAACGGCCUACCAAGGCGACGAUGCGUAGCUGGUCUGAGAGGACGAUCAGCCACACUGGGACUGAGACACGGCCCAGACUCCUACGGGAGGCAGCAGUGGGGAAUCUUGCGCAAUGCGCGAAAGCGUGACGCAGCAACGCCGCGUGGGGGAAGAAGGCCUUCGGGUUGUAAACCUCUUUCAGUUGGGACGAAGCUUCGCGGGUUAAUAGCCUGCCGGAGUGACGGUACCUUCAGAAGAAGCCCCGGCUAACUACGUGCCAGCAGCCGCGGUAAUACGUAGGGGGCAAGCGUUGUCCGGAAUCAUUGGGCGUAAAGAGCGUGUAGGCGGCCCGAUAAGUCCGCUGUGAAAGUCCAGGGCUCAACCCUGGAAUGCCGGUGGAUACUGUCGGGCUCGAAUCCGGAAGAGGUGAGUGGAAUUCCUGGUGUAGCGGUGAAAUGCGCAGAUAUCAGGAGGAACACCAAUGGCGAAGGCAGCUCACUGGGACGGUAUUGACGCUGAGACGCGAAAGCGUGGGGAGCAAA